UACGAAGGGGGCUAGCGUUGUUCGGAAUUACUGGGCGUAAAGGGCGCGCAGGCGGCCCUCUAAGUCAGGCGUGAAAGCCCCGGGCUCAACCCGGGAAUAGCGAUUGAGACUGGGGGGCUUGAGUUCGGGAGAGGAGAGUGGAAUUCCCAGUGUAGAGGUGAAGUUCGUAGAUAUUGGGAAGAACACCGGUGGCGAAGGCGGCUCUCUGGACCGACACUGACGCUGAGGCGCGAAAGCGUGGGGAGCAAACAGG
rnacentral:rRNA from 1 species